AUGGAGGCGCAGGGCUGUGGUGCGUCGAGUAUUCGGCCAGACGGACGGCGGCCAGUCUGGGACCUAAUCUGGAAGAACGGGGCACCAGCUAAAGUAUGUGUAUUUGCAUGGAGUGCUGCUCGUGAGUCCCUAGCUACUCAAGCUACCAAGAACCGCAUGCAUAUGGAGCAAGAUCCUACAUGUGUACUAUGCGGCCAUGCGGUGGAGGAUGUACAUCAUGCCCUGGUACAAUGCCCCCAUGCAGCGGCACUCUGGGCAGCCAUAAGAGACUACUGGGACCUCCCGACCAUAAAAGACCUGCGUGAUGCCGAGCCCGAAUGGUUGUUUCGUCUGCUUGACAACCUGUCUGAUGUACAGAGGUUGGCUUCCCUGAUGAUCAUGUGGAGGAUUUGGUACGCGAGGAAUGAGAUCACUCAUAAUAAACCACCGGUUCCGAUCGAGGCUUCGCGCAGAUUUCUCACGAGCUAUAUCACAUCUUUGCUUGCGAUACAGCAGCACCCGGAGGCGGAUUUGACAAAAGGAAAGCAGGUGAUUGACCUCUCAUGA
rnacentral:rRNA from 1 species